rnacentral:rRNA from 1 species
UACGGAGGGUGCAAGCGUUAAUCGGAAUUACUGGGCGUAAAGCGUGCGUAGGCGGUUCGUUAAGUCUGUUGUGAAAGCCCCGGGCUCAACCUGGGAAUGGCAAUGGAUACUGGCGAGCUAGAGUGUGUCAGAGGAUGGUGGAAUUCCCGGUGUAGCGGUGAAAUGCGUAGAGAUCGGGGGGAACAUCAGUGGCGAAGGCGGCCAUCUGGGACAACACUGACGCUGAGGCACGAAAGCGUGGGGAGCAAACAGG